UAAUACGAAGGUGGCAAGCGUUGUUCGGAAUCACUGGGCUUAAAGCGUACGCGGGCGGAUUAUCAAGUGUCCUUUGAAAUCCCACGGCUCAACCGUGGAAUUGGGGGGCAAACUGGUAAUCUUGAGGCAGUUAGGGGUGGGUGGAACUCUUGGUGGAGCGGUGGAAUGCGUAGAUAUCAAGAGGAACGCCAGAGGUGAAAACGACCCACUGGGACUGUCCUGACGCUGAGGUACGAAAGCGUGGGUAGCGAACGGG
rnacentral:rRNA from 1 species